rnacentral:rRNA from 1 species
CCUGAGAAACCCAAAAGAUCGAAUGGGGAGAUUCAUCAUCAGCGGCUCCGGUGCGUGUGCGGCUCGGGAUUCCGCGGGGUCUCGGCCUCGCGGAACUCGUCCGCAUGGUUUUUAUAUGCCGGAGCUCGUCGACGUGCACUUCUCCCCUUGUAGGACGUCGCGACCCGUUGGGUGUCGGUCUACGACCCGAGUGGGAGUCUGUCGUGCGGCGCGCUUCGCGGUUCGCCAUGCGGCAGACCCUCGGAUGUCCGACCGACUGCCCGGCGGUACUCGCACGGUAUCGGGCCGCAAAAUUUGAACUGCGUCCGGCCCGUCGCAAGCGAGGACAAGUGUUUCUCGGAUGUACGGACCUCGUGCCGUCGCCGGGCCUGUCCAGCUGUUGGUCGACGGAGCUCUUGGACUGGCUCUUAACGAAUAUAUACCGGUCAGCGACGCUACUGCUUUGGGUACUUUCAGGACCCGUCUUGAAACACGGACCAAGGAGUCUAACAUGUGCGCGAGUCAUUGGGAUAUCUGAAGCCUAAAGGCGCAAUGAAAGUGAAGGUCGGCCUCGCGUCGACCGAGGGAGGAUGGGCAGCGUCAAGGUGCUGUCCCGCACUCCCGGGGCGUCUCGUUCUCAUGCGAGAAGAGGCGCACCCAG